UGGUCAAUGAUGACGUGACCACCGCACAAUCUGAGUUCUAGGAACCAGGUGAUGGAGUGUGUGCUGAGAGCUGACUGUGAGACUU